rnacentral:rRNA from 1 species
GGUGAACGCUGGCGGCGUGCUUAAGACAUGCAAGUCGAACGGCAGUCUUCGGACUGUAGUGGCGCACGGGUGAGUAACGCGUAACUGACCUACCCCAAAGUCGCGGAUAACGAUUCGAAAGAAUCGCUAAUACGUGAUGUGCUGUCAGAUUGUGUUCUGCCAGUAAAGAUUGAUUGCUUUGGGAUGGGGUUGCGUUCCAUCAGCUAGUUGGUGGGGUAAAGGCCCACCAAGGCGACGACGGAUAGCCGGCCUGAGAGGGUGGCCGGCCACAGGGGCACUGAGACACGGGUCCCACUCAUACGGGAGGCAGCAGUUAGGAAUCUUCCACAAUGGGCGAAAGCCUGAUGGAGCGACGCCGCGUGGGGGAUGAAGGUCUUCGGAUCGUAAACCUCUGAAUCAGGGACGAAAGACACUUCGGUGGGAUGACGGUACCUGAGUAAUAGCACCGGCUAACUCCGUGCCAGCCGCCGCGGUAAUAC